GUCAGGACGCCGAACAUCACAAAUGUUGACCUCUUGGGCUCAUCGAAGUCGGCCAGUGCUGGAGGGGCCAGGGAGACACUGGGGGAGGAUCGCAGGACAAAGACACUAAGAUUCACGGGAAGAAGCGAAGCCCCUCCCAGGCCUGGUUGGAUGGCAGGGAGCCUUCAGGUCAUGGGGACCUUGCCACAGACAAGAGUUCAACUGGCACAAACAAGCCUGGGAACCAGCACGGGGGACUCUUG